CAAUAUCGACGUUAUCUCUCAAAAAAGCAUAAAUUAUAUCAUAAAAUCCUUUCUGCCAACAUUUGUUAUAAAACUUCUACUUAACACAAGUUAACAAAAAAAUUUUAGUUGAGUUAUGAUUAAUUUACCAGCUAAUUAUAAUAAAAAUACUAGGCUUAGUUUGGUAUUGAGGUCUAUCUAACACUAUUAGAUAAAAUUGAGUUGAGGAAAAAGCAUAUAGGGAUAUACUUCUGCGUUCUCCGGUAGGACCGCAGAAAAUAUAUCGUUACCGACUCAUCGCGAUAUGCGGUAGGCUUAGUUUGGUAUUGAGGUCUAUCUAACGCUAUUAGAUAAAAUUGAGUUAAGGAAAAAGUAUAUAGGGAUAUACUUCUGCGUUCUCCGGUGGGACCGCAGAAAAUAUAUCGUUACAGACUGAUCGCGAUAUGCGGAACGUAAUAUUAUGUACGGAAACAAACAAGGUAUUUUUCCAACGUACUUUCUCACCACACGUGACGCAUUCUCCCCGCAAUCUCAAACGAAGCCUAAUAAAAUUAUUUUGUGUGCACUCGCUAAUUAAAUUUUCAUUCCUGCGAUUCCAAAGCCUAAAUCCUAAAACCUUAGAACUCUAAAACAUUAAUACUAAAACCCUAAUAACCAUAAAAACCUAAAAACCUGAAACCCUAAAAAACCCUAAAACCCCAGGACCCUAAAAUUUCUAGAACCCUAAAAUUUCACUGUGCAUAUGAUAUGUAUGUGUACACUAGGGCAUGUUUGGUUCAGAGUCGGAAUCAGAAUCGGAAUCGGAAUCGGAAUCAAAAUAAGCUAGAAUCGAAAUCGAAAUGACUCAUUACCUAAUUCUGUUUGGUUCAUCACCUGAAUCGGAAUCGGAAUAAAUCAUUCUCAUUGUCGAUGUUUGGUUCAGGUGGAUAUAAAAAACGUAAUCAAAUUAAUAUAUUAACAUUAUCUUUAUAAUAUAUUAAUUUAAAUUCAAAUUAAAAAUUUAAAUAUUAAAAAUUUAUAUCAAAAUUUUGAAAUAAUGUCAAAAUUUUAAAUCUAUUUUUUUUAAAAAAAAUUAAACUUUGAAGUUGAGUGGAUAAUUCAAAUUAUGAAACUAAAUUUUGAUUUAUUCAAAUUCAAACUAAAAUUACAAUUUAAAUUUUAAUUUGAAUCCAUAAAUUUAAUUUAAGUUUGAAAUAAAAUUUGAAUAAAACUUUAUAUAAAUUAAAAUUUAAUUUAAAUUAAAAUUCAUAAGUUAGAUUCGAAAUACUUGAUUAAAUUUUAAUUUUUAAUUUAAGUUCAAAUUAAAAUUUAAAAUUAUAUAUUUAAUUUUAAAUUUUAACUCAUAUUUUAAUUAAAAAAGUUGAAAAAAUAAAUUUAAUCCGAAUAAAUAUCCAUUCCGUUCGGAUUCAACUUUCAAUCCGGCCUCCUAGGCCGGAUUGAAAAAUGAGGUGAUUGCGGGAUUCCUAUUCCACUCAGGAAUCAGAAUCGGAAUGGGACUCCCGCGUACCAAACACCUAUAAACGGAUUCACCCAUUCCGAUUCCGAUUCCGAUUCUAGGGUGAAAAAGAAGCGAACCAAACACGCCCUAAUUAGUGUAUGUGAUACACACCAGCAAAUUUAUCUGAUAAAAAAGUCAAAAUAAAAUUUUAGAUAGAAUUGUCAAAAGUAAAAUUUUAGAAUAAAAUUUCAUUAAUUAAAUUUAUGUUAUAGUAUUUUAAAUAUCUUAUAUUAAAAUAAAAAAAAAAUUGUUAUUGGAUUUAUGGUACACUGGGUGCAGCGUAAAUAUAGAUGGGACACGUGUCAACACAGAGAUAUUACCCCACGCACUGUAACACGUGGCAGCACAGCAACUUCACUCCACAAAUUUUAGUUAGAAGAAUAUAUAUAGAACAGAUACAUCCAAGACCCUCCCGUGGACCAUAUAUAUGUCCACAGCCACCGGUCUAUGAUGCACUAGGUGCGUCGAAAGGAUCCCAACGACAUGUGGCAGUACAACAACCUCACUCCAAGAACUUUAGUAUAUAGUAAUAAUAGAUGCUUGAUAAUUCAGGCCGGUCAAACCUUACUAUUUCCAGCUAUUUCGGAAUAGCUUGAAAUUUACCAUUUCACCAUUUUGGUGGAAUAGUGUUAUUCUAAUGUUUAAUUUUCAACUUUAUUAAAAUUAUAAAUUAAAUUAAAACUAAAUUAUAAAAAAUAUAAUAUAUCAUAUAUUAUAUAUUAUAAUAUAUUAUUUUUAUUAUAAAAUUAUUAAUUGUACUAUAUUAAUACAUAUUAUUUAUAUUUAAAUAUUAUAAUAAAUUUUAUAAUAAAUUAUAUUUAAAUAUUAUAAUAAAUUUUUUUUAUUAAAUUUAAGUUUAAGUAGAAUUUUUAAAAAAAUUAUACAUUUAUUAUAAUAAAUUAUUUUUAUUAAUCGUUUCUACUGUCACACUCCGGAUUACUCGUUUCUCCGAGCACGCCAACAGACCUGCCGUAUACAUAGAAAUUUUUCCUGUAUACGAAGCGAAAGCUGUACCUGUACAUGUAAUCAUACAACACUACAACCAGUAGUAUAGAACUGCUAAAACUAAAAGCAUAUAUAAAUAAUACNAAUAAAUUAUAUUUAAAUAUUAAAUAAAUUAUUUUUAUUAAAUUUAAGUUUAAGUUUUUUUUAGAAUUUUUAAAAAAAUUAUAAAUUUAUUAAAAAAUUUAUUUUUAUCAAAUUCAUAAAUUUAUUUUAAUAAAAUUAUUUUUAUUAAUUGUUCCCACCUCUAUUCUUAUUUUAAAAUUUUAAAAAUUUUAAAAUUUAUAAUUUGUAAUCUCAAAAUUAAAGUUUAUAAUUUUAAAUUCUAACUUUUAAAUUUUAAUUUUUAAUUUUGAUAUUUUAAUUUUUUAAAAUUUAAACUUUGAUAUUUUAUAUUUUUAAAAUUUAAAUUUGAUCUUAAACUUAAAGUUUGAAAUUUAAAAUUUAAAAUUUUGAAUUUAAAAUUUGAGUUUUUAAAUUUUAAAAUUUUAAUUUCAAAAUUUGAAAUUUAAAAGUUAAAAUUUUUAAUUUAAUAAUAUAAAUAUAAAAUUUAAAAAUUUAAAUUCAAAUAUAAUAAGAGGGGUAAUUAUUUAUAAUUAUUCGCUAUCUUUCUUUAUCUAUACAAAUACUAUUUUUCUUAUUCCCGAAAACAUCCCAAUUUCAUCCAAACACAAAAAUAAUCUAAUUCAUACUUAAAAAUAUACUUAUUUCUGAAUUAGCCGGUUCUUACUUAUAUCCGAAUCAACCGAUACCUAAAA
rnacentral:lncRNA from 1 species